UCCUUCAGAACCGCUGAUUUCCCGUUGCAAUAUUUGGCUCGAGCUUGCAACUGCUGCAGGUACUCCGGAUACCAUCGAGCCCAAAUGGUUUGCAGAUGUUUUUGUACCAACUGGUAUUCCCUCAAAUAGUUGCUCGGUGUCUCGGUGUAAUCAAUGAUUGGUACCGCUUGCAGAUUGCCACCGAUGAGGAAGUGUCCCGGUGUCAAUGGUUCCAAGUCCGACGGCUCAUCGGAUAGAGGUGUAAUCGGUCGCGAAUUCAAACAUUGCUCUACCUGGGCAAGUAGGCUGCUUUCACCGCCGCCUCCCAUAAACCUCCAAAAUGUGGUGCUCUUGGUGGGAUAAACUUCCACUUCAUCUGAUUCAUCGCGCACCAAUCAAAUAUAGCAGCUCGAUCGUGUUCGUCGCUCUUUAACAUCUUGUAGACGCGAUUCAGCUCAUGUGCCGCUCCCUUAAGGGUGGUUGCAUUGUCGGAAUGCAGUUCACUGAUUUGGCCACGACGUGCAAUCAAACGACGAAGUGCAUUGAUAAAUGCUGUUGAUGUUAAAUCGCCAACCAGUUCGAUAUGUACCGCUCUUGUUGAAAAACAUACAAAUAUGGCGAUGUAUGCUUUAAUCGGA